rnacentral:tRNA from 1 species
GUUUUUAUAGUUUAAUUAAAAUUUUAAAUUGCAAAUUUAAAGAUAUUUUAAAAAAAUUAAAAACU